AAACUAUGCAUCGGGCACUUUUCAAUCAAUUCAUUGAAUCACUCCCAAGCUUCAAACAAUGUCUGAUCGUCAGAUUGCCAAAAAGAUGUAAUAUCAUUCCUCAAUUU
rfam:Gossypium hirsutum cultivar TM-1 chromosome 16, whole genome shotgun sequence